CACGCCUAAUACAUGCAAGUCGAACGCAGUAGCAAUACUGAGUGGCAGACGGGUGAGUAUAAUGUGGGUAUCUGCCUUUUGGUUUGGAAUAACUCGGGGAAACCUGAGCUAAUACCGAAUAAGCCUUCACAGGGAAAGCUUUAUGCGCCAAAAGAUGAGCCCGCACUUGAUUAGCUUGUUGGUGAGGUAAAGGCUCACCAAGGCAACGAUCAAUAGCUGUUCUUAGAGGAAGACCAGCCACAUUGGGACUGAGACACGGCCCAGACUCCUACGGGAGGCAGCAGUAGGGAAUCUUGCACAAUGGGGGAAACCCUGAUGCAGCGAUGCCGCGUGAGUGAAGAAGGCCUUUGGGUUGUAAAACUCUUUCGUCGGGGAAGAAAAUGACUGUACCCGAAUAAGAAGGUCCGGCUAACUUCGUGCCAGCAGCCGCGGUAAUACGAAGGGAUCUAGCGUAGUUCGGAAUUACUGGGCUUAAAGAGCUCGUAGGUGGUUAAAAAAGUUGAUGGUGAAAUCCCAAGGCUUAACCUUGGAACUGCCAUCAAAACUUUUUAGCUAGAGUAUGAUAGAGGAAAGUGGAAUUUCUAGUGUAGAGGUGAAAUUCGUAGAUAUUAGAAAGAACACCAAAUGCGAAGGCAACUUUCUGGAUCAUUACUGACACUGAGGAGCGAAAGCAUGGGUAGCGAAGAGGAUUAGAUACCCUCGUAGUCCAUGCUGUAAACGAUGUGUGCUAGACGUUGGAAACAUAGUUUUCAGUGUCGCAGCGAAAGCAUUAAGCACACCGCCUGGGGAGUACGACC
rnacentral:rRNA from 1 species